CGGGAAAUGGCUCAGUUUGGUAGAGCGCUGCGUUCGGGACGCAGAGGCCGCAAGUUCAAAUCUUGUUUUCCCGA
rnacentral:tRNA from 10 species